rnacentral:rRNA from 1 species
UACAGAGGGGGCAAGCGUUGUUCGGAAUUACUGGGCGUAAAGGGCGCGUAGGCGGCCUGUUAAGUCGAACGUGAAAUCCCCGGGCUCAACCCGGGAACUGCGUCCGAUACUGGCAGGCUUGAAUCCGGGAGAGGGAUGCGGAAUUCCAGGUGUAGCGGUGAAAUGCGUAGAUAUGCGGAGGAACACCGAUGGCGAAGGCAGCCUCCGUGGGAUAACACUGACGCUCUGCAACGAAAGGCGUGGGGAGCAAACAGG